AUGAGUUUGAAGAGAAAGGAGAUGAGUUUAAAGAGAAAGUAGAUGAGAUUGAAAAGAAAUGAGAUGAGUUUGAAAAGAAACGAGAUGAGUUUGAAGAGAAACGAGAUGAGUUUGAAAAUAAAAAGGAGUUUGAAAAGGAAAAGGAGGAGUUUAAAAAGGAAAAGGAGGAGUUUAAAAAGGAAAAGGAGGAGUUUAAAAAGACACUCGAGGAUUUUGAAAAGAAACAGAGCAAGUUAAUUGACGAGAAAGACAUCCUGUGCGUCCAAAUCGCCGCUCUGUGCUAUAAUUUAGGCCAUGGUCCGUUCUCGUACGUGUUUAAGGACAACCCUGAAGACCUAGAGUCUGGCAAUCAGUGGAAGAUUGCGGAGGCCUCGGUGUGGCUGUUUCUGGACAUAGUAGAGAACAAUAGUGAACUGAAAAAUGAGCUGAAGGAAAAAGAUCUCACCUUUAUUCAGGAGUUGAUAAAGGGAGUUGAUACUUCAGCUAAAGAGUGGCCAGCGAAGGGCAGGACUGAGGACAAGUCUUUCCUGUAUGAGAUUGUGGCAAAUCAAUGGAAUGGCAUUGAUGUGC